AACAUUGUUUAAAGACACAAUUACACUUCAUGUUUUCUAGGUGUAAUUAGCGGGGAAUACUGCUCAUAUUUAACCUAUUGUGAGGACGGAUACUACUGUUGUGAAUACGAUACCAAAUGUUGCUCUAAGAAUACAUUGACAGUUGGAGCAAUAAUUGGUAUAGUGAUAGGCUGUCUCGUCUUCUUCGGCUGUUGCAUGACUGUAAUAUGCUGCUUAACUAAACAAGGUCAUCGAAAGGGACACGCCAUUCAACCCGUUCAAUCAACUGGUGUAGCAAUCAUAACAACUGGACAUCAAGGACCUCCUGGUUACAGCCAACAUGGCUAUGGCCAAUCACAAAUGUAUGGUCAACAGCCAAUGUAUGGUCAACCAAUGUAUGGACAACAGCCAAUGUAUGGUCAACCUCAAAUGUAUGGACUAUUGGGUACCAAUCGGUCAACAUUCGGUCAAAAAGCGGGAACUAGUGAUCCUGCAUAUCCCCUACCACCGCCAAAUUUCUAGUCCUAAAACGACGAUAAUAAAUCAGUCAAUAAUUAAAACACAGAGACUUACAUAUAAAUCUUUAUUAAAAUACUCGCACGCGCGUUAUACCAUAGUGCAUUCUCCUUUACAUCAAUUUAUCUAAAAACAAUUAGAUUUAUACCGUAGCUUCGUAUUUCCACUGUCUUAAGUUCAUCGGUUGAAAUUACAUAUUUGUUUACAUGCAUCAUGGUACUUUUCUUUUGCUGGUUAAUGCUAUACUCAUAUAUGUUUUCUAAUAAUAAUAUACAAGUUUUUCAAUGGACAGGUACAUUUUUAAAAUCAAAAAUCAAAUCAUAGCAUCAGCAGCGGCCAAACCAAUAUCUUUGAGACAAAAAAUUAUUAGUAAAGAAACUCAUGGCACAUAAAAAUAUUUAUUAUGUUACAGUCAAUCAACCAGUAUCAACAUCCAAAGUUGAUUUUUAUUUUCUUUAAUCAGUUCACAGAAAAAUAAGAAAUGUUACUAUAACAUUUCUAGUAAUAUGUUUGACGUAAAGAAUUAAUUACUGACAGCUUAGCUUGUAAUCAAAAAUAUAUUAAAUGUAGAAAACUCCUAUAGAACUGUUU